rnacentral:tRNA from 1 species
UUAGUGGAUAGCUUACAUUUAAAGCGCAGCACUGAAGAUGCUGAGAAAGGUUUUCCUUCCAUUAAG